ensembl:lncRNA
UUUUUUCUUUUUUUUUUCUGAUUUUCCCCUCACUUUUAAACUUACAUCACCUUUCUGAAGUCUUUCCUUUCACACUGGCAUAGUGCAAAAAAGUGAUCUCAUUUUAAUGGUAAUAAAAAUACUGCCCUUCACCAAGGCAAAACUGAUGCAUGUUGAUUAUGACACACCUGUCCCCUUCUAGAGCUUUCUGUUUUAUCUUCUCUAGGAUCGUUCUCUAUUUUAAAGCUACUGUUGGGCCUCUUUCUCUUUUUGCUCCUUAUCAGAAUGUUUAAUACAGAUUCCACAAGUAUCACACUACUUGAAAAAUAGCUACCUAACUUCUUUUGGGAUGAGGACUCUACAUCUUCAGGAGGCAUCUAAUACUUCCCAAAACGAGGGCACUGACUGCUUCUUGAUGGUACCAAGUCUCAACUAAGAAAAACAGCAGGUCAUCCAAUGCCUCCAAUGAACAGAUGGCUCCCUUUCUAUAUGGAAGAGCAUCCAGGUGGGAAUAAGAACAGCUUAGAUGUCCUCAAAGCCUUUGUGAGUUAAUCAGGAGGGAAAGUCAUUCAGAGGAAACAUGUUACAGAGCCAACUACAUGUCAGAAGAUAAAGUCCUCUCCUCUGGAUCUUUCUAGAAGCCCCUCGGGCUGUAAGUCCCCAGGGCCUCUGAAUCCUCCUCCAACCACUCCAAAUCCCAGUCCUGCAUUCUGGCCACUCUAGGUGAAGAGCCCUUACCUAACCUAACGUUUAAAGACCCUUCCUGCUCCUACACCUUUGUUUUGGUGCUUCCCUGCACCUGGAAGGCCGCUUCCUCUCUCCUUGUCAUCUGGCAAGCUCCUUCUUCCCAUUUCAAAUUCAGCUGUCACUUCCUCUCCUAAGUCACCCCUAUUUACUCGUGCAGUUCCACACAUUUGAACAUUUAUCACAUUGCUCUCAUGACAUCCACAUCCUUUCUUCCACCAGGCUGUGAGAAACUAGGGGACCAGAGACUAUGCUCUUCUUGUCUCCAUCACUUAGCUGUGGAAUCUGAUAUCUACUAGGUGUUUAGUAAAGGUUAGGGGCUUGAGCAGCCAGAAGCACAGUGGAGUAAUUAUGUGUGAUGUUCUUCCAUUAGACCAAUCUGGGUUCACAUCCCAGCCCUGGUAAUUUCUAUGUGAGUGACCUUAAUAAACUUACUUAACUUCCUUAAGUUUCAGUUUCCCUUCUAUAAAAUAAGUAUAAUAAUAUCUACCUCGGAAGAUCAUUGCUACGAUGAAAAAUAAUAUGUGAAGGAAUGCAGUAAGACUUGGAAAAUGGUAGUUAUUAAUAUUGUCCUAUUGAAGAGAUUUGAGGGCAGGGAGAACAAAUAAGAAAGACUGCAGUAAUCCCAGGAACUCCACGAAGAUAACUGGAAGGCUGUCCCUUACAAAUGCUAAUGUAUUCAUGCUACAGGAGUCCACUUUGGAAUGUGAGGAGGCGGGAGGCAGAGGAAAGAGUUUAUUAACCCUUGCUGACGAAAGCCACUCACAUACUGACUCUGAAAUUGAAGCAACCUGAAAAACAGCUUUACUUGAGAAUGUCCAGAAGUGAGUUAAUGGCCAAUCCCAAAGGGGAGAAGAGUAAGCACUUUUCAAGCAUUUGCUGAUCAAGACUUUUGCAUAUCUGAGCUCCUGCACUUCAAAGGGGACUUCCUGCUGGGUUUGCUUACUGCUUUAACUAAGUCCUUGAAUUUAAAGACAGGAGAUAUUCUUGUAAGUGGAGAAUUUUGAAUAGUCAGAUGUUGACCAAUAGAAUUGCUCUUCCUGUUGGCAAAUGAUGCAGCUGGAGUGUUAUUAAUUGAUCAAACUACUCCCCCACCUGGACUCCCAGGUGACUUUUCCACGGUAGUUGUAAACUGGCAGGUAUCAGAAUUCAAUGGUGAAGUGCCUUACAGCUAUCCUGAAAGAUUGGGAGGCAAACUCAAAAGUCCCUUCACCAAAAGGUCAGGUCACUAAGGUUAGGGUGCCCAGAGCUGUGUAAUAAGUGUCAGAAUACUGCCAGUAAAACUGCAAGCAGAGUGUGGAAUUGGAAG